rnacentral:lncRNA from 9 species
UUAAGAGAAGAAAGAGAAAUUUUAUUAUCAUCUUUGCUACACAUUUCAAAUAAAAUAAUGCAUAACUGGCCAUGGUCAUUGAAAAAAUAAGGAAGAAUUUCUAUUUUGUUUGAACAAGGUAGAUAGUGGUUUAGACAGUGAACAAAAGUCUAAGACUAAAAAACCUUGGAUAAAGAAAGGAUCCUACAGAGAGUUCCCAUCAUGGCCCAGUGGAAACAAAUCCGACUAGGAACUAUGAGGUUGCAGGUUCGAUCCCUGGCCUUGCUCAGUGGGUUAAGGAUCUGGCAUUGCUGUGAGCUGUGGUGUAGGUCACAGAUACUGGAUCCCAUGUUGCUUUGGUUGUGGGGUAGGCUGGCAGAUUCAGCUCUGAUUCAACCCCUAGUCCAGGAACUUCCCUAUGUCAUAUGUGUGGCCCUAGAAAGAGAGAAAAAGAAGAAGAACUUUGCCCAGAAAAUGUAGCCUUGGCAACUGGCCUAAUGGUAGAGUUUCUCUAAGCAGUCCUGGCCUGCCUGCCCAAAGCAAGGAUAUUUCCAUGCUCUUUCCCCUGGACAAUCUCUAAUUCACUGACUAUGAGAAAAUAUGAGAUCAGUCAUAAAGACACACUUAAAAUCCCCUUAGGGAAAAUAAAGGAAGGAAAUCUGGAAUUCUGCACUGAGAAGUAAGACCAUCUCUCUAUAGCUACACUGUAUCCAGGGCUUGUCUCACUGCAGCUAUCAUAGUGGCAAAUUGCUAUGCUCAAUGUGUGGCACUCAGCAGAUGCUCAAAAAGUACUUGAUGUCUGCACAUAUCCGCAGUAAAUAGAAGUUAUUCCUGAUGGUCCCUCAUGACAUGCCCACCUGAUAUUUCCUCUGGUCACUGUCCAAAUUUAUCAUGUUAUCUAUAAGCCUCUACAAUAUAAAAAUGAGCAGGACAUAAGAUCAUAGGAUGUGAAAGAGGAAACAAAUCCAAUGGAAAUCUUGAAACUAGGGUAAUAUGAGAAGGAGGCUUCCUUGGCAGGAAUGUAGCCCGCAAUUCUUCCAUAUUAGAACCCUGGAAGCUAUUCAGUUACCAUCACCCACUGCUUCAGGUGAUCAAGGCAGGGAGAAAGUCUUUGUUGGAGAAAAUCAAGAUGACUUGCAGCUACCUAAAAGGAGCUCUCCAGUUUGCAUGUGUUCACUAAUCUGAGAGCCCUCUGAACCAUAUAAUUUUGGCAUUUUUAUAGAUGCUUCAUCAUGUAGGCAUAAUCAGUUAUUAACUACAUUUCUAGCCACUCUCCUCUAUCUGGAGGAUGGGGGUGGAGUUGAAAAUUCCAAGCUUCUAAUCAUGGCCUAGACUUUCAGGUGAUCAGCCAAUAUCCAGAAGUCAUCCAGAGUUGCCUCAAUAAGAGAAAAGACACCACUGUCAUCCAGGAAAUUCCAAAGUAUUCAGGAGUUCUGUGCUAGGAAUGGGGUCAAAGACAAAUACUACCACAAAGAUAGUUCCUAGCAUUCUUAUCAUUUAGGAAAUCACAGGGAUUUCAGGAUCACUGUGCCAGAACUGGGAGGCAAGAAAAAUCCAUAUUUUCUAUUAGUUCACAACUCUGGAACCCAUCUGAACCCCAGUCCCGUCCCCCCCCACCCCAGAGCCUAACAUUCUCUUUGGGAAGGAAAUAAUCAGAAUACAGCCUACAAAGGGUUUUGACACAACUCAAUAAGAAAGAACACAUAAGUUACUUCAUUAACAUAUAGUGCACAAUAUGAUAUAAAUUCUUCUUCAUAUCAAUCCUUCAAAAUCUCUCCUCUUUCCUUCCUGCCCACACUCAGAGGAAAACUAGUAAAGACAUAAUAUGCGGUGCUCCAGGGGUCAGAAGACAGUGCUUACCAAUCCAAUCACUCCAUCCAGACAGAUGUGCAAUAGGCAGCAAAUGACAGGGGGAAGUUAUCAAUCAACUUCAGGAAAGGGAUGGGCUCACACAAUAAGAAGGAACAUCACAGAAAUGCAAAGAAUGGGGGGUUACUAUUAAUAAUUUUAUGUCAAUAAUAUGGGUAAAAUGAAAGAAAUUAAUAAUUUCCCAUAAAUGUACAAUCUCACAAGACUGUAUCAGGGAAAAUAGAAAAUAUGAACAGAUUGAAACUGAAUCAGUAAUUAAAAAAAAAACCCUCCCAACAAACAAAAGUCCAGAACCAAACAUUUAAAGAAAAGUUAACAGCCAUCCUUUUUUCAAAAUAGUCCAAAAAACUUAACAAAAAGGAAUGCUUCUGAAGUCAUUUCAGGAGGCCAUCAUUACCUGAAUAACAAAAACCAAAGAAAGAGUGGAAGGAAGGAAGGAGGGAAGGAAGGAAGGAAGGAAGGAAGGAAGGAAAGGAAAGGAAAGAAGGAAGGAAGGAAGGAAGGAAGGAAGGAAGGAAGGAAGGAAGGAAGGAAGGAAGGAGGGAAGGAAGGAAGGAAGGAAGGAAGGAGGAAAGGGAAAGAAAGAGAGAGAAAAUUAUAGGCUAAUAUGACUGAUGAACAUACAUGCAAAAACUCUCAACAACAUAUUGGCAAACUGAAUUCGACAAUAUAUGAAAAGAAUUAUACACAAUGAUCAAUUGAGAUUUAUCCCAGAAAUGCAAGGAUGAUUCAUUUCUGGGAUAAUCAAAUCAAUCAUAUGAUACAUACAUUAUCAAAUUGAAGAGUAAAAAUCAUGUGCUCAGAAAAACUUUUGACAAAAUUCAACAUUUAUGAUUUUAAAAAUUCUCAAAAAGAUGGUAUAGAGGGAACAUACUUUAUCAUAAUAAAGGCCAUAUAUUACAAACCUAAGCCAAUAUCAUACUCAAUAGGGAAAAGCUAAAAGCAUUUCCUCUAAGGUAAGAAAUAAGACAAAGAUGCCCACGAUCAUUGCUUUCAUCCAACAUCAUAUUGGAAGUGCUAGCCACAGCAACUAGACAACAAAAAGAAAUAUAAGAAAUCCAAAUUGGAAAGGAAAAUGCAAAACUGUCAGUAUUUUCAGACAACAUGAUAUUGUAUAUAAAAAAGCCUACAGAAAACUGGUACAGCCACUAUGGAGAACAGUUUGGAGAUACCUUAGAAAUCUAUACAUAGAACUUCCAUAUGACCCAGAAAUCCCACUCUUGGGCAUAUAUCCAGACAAAACUCUACUUAAAAGAGACACGUGCACCCGCAUGUUCAUUGCAGCACUAUUCACAAUAGCCAGGACAUGGAAACAACCCAAAUGUCCAUCGACAGAUGAUUGGAUUCGGAAGAUGUGGUAUAUAUACACAAUGGAAUACUCCUCAGCCAUCAAAAAGAAUGACAUAAUGGCAUUUGCAGCAACAUGGAUGGAACUAGAGAAUCUCAUACUGAGUGAAAUGAGCCAGAAAGACAAAGACAAAUGCCAUAUGAUAUCACUUAUAACUGGAAUCUAAUAUCCAGCACAAAUGAACAUCUCCUCAGAAAAGAAAAUCAUGGACUUGGAGAAGAGACUUGUGGCUGCCUGAUGGGAGGGGGAGGGAGUGGGAGGAAUUGGGAGCUUGGGCUUAUCAGACACAACUUAGAAUAGAUUUACAAGGAGAUCCUACUGAAUAGCAUUGAGAACUUUGUCUAGAUACUCAUGUUGCAACAGAAGAAAGGGUGGGGGAAAAACUGUAAUUGUAAUGUAUACAUGUAAGGAUAACCUGACCCCCUUGCUGUACAGUGGGAAAAAUAAAAUAAAAUAAAAUAAAU